UUACGGCCAUAUCAGGUUGAAACAUUGGUUCCCGUACAAUCACCGAAGUUAAACAACGUUAAGCCUAGUCAGUCCCUUGAUGGAUGACCGCUUGAGAAUACCAGAUUGUUACA